UACGUAGGGGCGAGCGUUGUCCGGAAUCAUUGGCGUAAGCGCGUGUAGGCGGCCCGGUAAGUCCGCUGUGAAAGUCCAGGGCUCAACCCUGGGAUGCCGGUGGAUACUGUCGGGCUCGAGUCCGGAAGAGGCGAGUGGAAUCCUGGUGUAGCGGUGAAAUGCGCAGAUAUCAGGAGGAACACCAAUGGCGAAGGCAGCUCGCUGGGACGUGACUGACGCUGAGACGCGAAAGCGUGGGGAGCAAACAGG
rnacentral:rRNA from 1 species